GGAAAUGUGGAGAACUGAACGUAAGACUGGGAAAAGAAGAAACGGAGAAACUGAAAUUGACAGAUUUGUCCAUCCCUAGUUCAUAUGAGCAUCUAUGAAUUGGCUCCGCUAGAGCAAUUGCACCACAGUGACCUCCUCAUCACCUCGUCCCGCCCCUUUCCAAUCGCCUUGAGACAGUUGUUUAGGUGAUUAAUAAAUCAGUGAUGAUGGCAAUGAAAACAACAACAAAACUAUGGGGAAACCAGAAGAAGCAUGAUGGGAGGAGUGGAGCUAACAGAAGAACAGACACAACCCAAAAACACUUCUUUACUCAUGCUGCGCCUUUAUGACUACCAUGCCUGAAUAGGGGGAAACUGAUGGUAAUUCAUGCAAAA